UCCAAAUGCAAGAUGCCCAUAUUUUGCUUCGUUCCAGAAACAACACAUUAUAGUAUUAGUUAUGUAUGGACCGAAACACGGUUUUUACAAUAAAUGUAUUGAUGCAGUCGGUCGUGUGACGCAUUUGAACCCACGGCAGCGAUAUGUGUAUGAAUGUUAAAUCUGAAGUCCAGUCGGGACAUAACAGCCUCGGGCCAGAUAAAACACCAGAGAAGAAUGCCACGGUGCGCUGAAGGGCAUGGAGUGUAGCUGCAUGGCAGAGGGGGGGUCUGGGCCGAUACCGGGGGGCUCCAACAGCUUGGCCAGGUGCCAGGAGUGGGGUCUGAUAACCGUCUUUUCAGUGCCUGCCUGUGACCCGAGAGAGAGACUGGAGCAGAACUUCGAGAGAGUCUGAGAUCGAUGGUUCACUGUCACCAGUCUGACCGUUCUGGGCAGGAGUGAGCUCGGACCACUGUGUUCUCAUACUCCCGCGGUCCUGGCGGUCCCCCUCUCGGUGACGCUGAAGGAAGGAAGCCCGCCUCAGACGGGGAGGAAGCAAUGCUGGGCGGAGAUAAAGGCUCUACACACAGACCCACCCCAAGACUCACUGAAAGACAAAUACCCCCCUGAGGAAGAAAAGCUGAACCGGAAAGAAACCCCCCUAUGCUCUUGUACUGGAUAAGCAGUUGGAUGGAUGAACAAAAGAAACACUAAGGGAGAAAACCAAGGCUCUGGAGCAGGUGUGCAGAUCAGUGUGAGGCUGACCAUGGUUACGUCGCUCCCAUAGCCGUCACAGCCUCUCCAUCUGAGUACAGCGUGAGACAGAGAGACUGGAGCUGGCCUGACCCCUCACAGGGUGAGAACGCUGAGGCUCUCACGCUUUCCACCAUCUGUGUCCAUCGAAGCCACCGCCAAAGAUCCCAGACACCAUUGCACAAGGCUUGGCACAGAGCAGGCCGGCAUUGCGCGGCCUUCCACCCUCCACACCCAACCAUUCUGAGCAGAGAAGUCUCCCAUAUGCCUUCCUUCGUUUACACUUACCCCCGUUUUCUCUGGCUCCUUGAAUUAGUCAAAUUCAUAGAGGCCACCGGCCAGAUGGCCGGAUUGCGGCCACAUUGUGACCAUCACACCAGGCAAGGCGACAUAGUGGAGCUCUCCUGAUUCUCAGCUCUGGAAGAGAGACCUCAAAAGGCCAGCAAGAGCGAGCCCGUGGACCCCUACCACACCAGCUCCAGCUGGGAGGCCUAUACAGAAGGAAGUAGAAGAACUUCAUGUGCGAGAAAGGUCCAGGUCUCGAGUCGUUGGGAUUCCCCAAUGGGCCAUGAAGUUCCAACCUCUCAGCUCUGCUACUGGGGGUCUGGGAGCUCGGAGGCCACCUGUAGGAGGAUGCAGCUGACAGGGAGUGGAUUGGGGAAAGGACUUGGACAGAUUCAGCGGGGGAGUCGAGGCAGUCCCAGACCAGCACCCUCUCUUCCCAUGAUGCUCUCCUGGCAUGGGGCCCUCCGACAGCCGUGACGGGAGGAAUGCAUGUAAUGGAGAAGUAUUGCACAAUUUAUAACUGCAAUUAUAGACUGACAUGGGCUGCCCCCUCCCCCUAUCUGACAGCCAUGUGGAACAUCCCAGACUGCGUGACUUCCCCCUCCUCAGCCAUGCGAGACCAGCUGGACACCGGCCGGCCCUUCUGUGAUUCUAGUAUCCCCUGUGUGUUAGCGAUGGUACCGUCCCUCAGAGGAUGAGUCUCUCUCCUCAAGCCACUACAGGCCGAACCUUGCACACCCCCUCCCCAGGGAUUUAGGAUAAGCCAGUUUGCUCAGGUAAAUUGCUGGAAGUUCCUGGGUUAUUCCACACGGUCAGAUGCAGAGGGCUGAGCUCGAGGCUGUUAGUUCCCAACAAAGCCUUUAUCUCCACAGCAUCCCCAAGAAUCACAAUGGGACCUCAGGUGGCCUCGGCAGUAGCACAAAUUGCUGAAUCUCAGGUCAUUUCAUCUUCUAGGAAAAGGAUAGAAAGAAUAAAUAGAGAGCCAGGAAAAACGGCGUAGCUUCAGAGCUCCCUGCCGGCCAUUCUGACUGACUUUUUCCCCCAAGGCCGUGACUUAAUGGAACGUGAGCCUCGUUAAUUCCGUCUCCCUUGGCUUCCACGUUUAUUCACAGCACGGGGGCCGAGGGCCAACUCCUGGCACGCUUCAGUAAACCCAGGGGAGCUGUAGCUGGAUGGGGCCCCGCGUCAGAGAGCGCUAUGGAACCCUGGUGGGUGGGACUUACGCGAGUCCGCGGUGUCAGACUAGGCUUGAGCGAAUGGUGAACCAGCAGGGUCGACCAAUAAGGAGAGAAUGUGUCAGUGAUUGAUAGCACAUGAUAAUACAAAGACUGGUUUCUUCCAAUGGUGACUCUAAGGCUCUGUGUGCAGAACUGCCAUUUAGUUGUCCAAGGGCUUUUUUUUGUGUAGUUUCAUGGGCAGAGAAAGAGGGAAAUACCCUCUUUCUUAGCUUGUUGCUGGUGCCACACCCGUGUUCCACUGGACCUCUCCACGUCCUGCUCCAGGCCUGGCGCUGGUCCGGGUGCCCGACCCCGAUCCCCGGUGAGCAGCCACCGCCGCCUCACAAUGAGGUCCUUGUGUGGCUGGGAAUGCUGCCCCCCCCCCCUCAGCACGCUCCCUAAGGAACAACUGCUCAUUAGGAACCAAAAAAUAAUAAUAAAAAAACUCCACCUUGAUCCUUUAAAUAGAACUGGGCAUGAUAUUUAUGCUGCCUAUUUUUAAUUAGCCUCCAUUAUACAAGGAGCCUUGGAGAAAUGCCUGUUUGGUUGGGAGGGGGAAUUGCAGAAUUAAUUCCCCCUUUACUUUGUCUCCAAUUCAUCAGCAAGAUGAAACAAACUCUUGGAGCGUCUGGGAGAGAUGUAAAAAUAAACCACCCAAUUACCAGA